GCUGGGCGCGGUGGCUCAUGCCUGUAAUCCCAGCAUUUUGGGAGGCUGAGGCGGGUGGAUCACCUGAGGUCAGGAGUUCGAGACCAGCCUGGCCAACAUGGUGAGACCUCGUCUCUA
rnacentral:SRP_RNA from 1 species